rnacentral:rRNA from 1 species
GUCGAACGAGACCUUCGGGUCUAGUGGCGCACGGGUGCGUAACGCGUGGGAAUCUGCCCCUUGGUUCGGAAUAACAGUUAGAAAUGACUGCUAAUACCGGAUAACGACGUAAGUCCAAAGAUUUAUCGCCGAGGGAUGAGCCCGCGUAGGAUUAGCUAGUUGGUGUGGUAAAGGCGCACCAAGGCGACGAUCCUUAGCUGGUCUGAGAGGAUGAUCAGCCACACUGGGACUGAGACACGGCCCAGACUCCUACGGGAGGCAGCAGUGGGGAAUAUUGGACAAUGGGCGAAAGCCUGAUCCAGCAAUGCCGCGUGAGUGAUGAAGGCCUUAGGGUUGUAAAGCUCUUUUACCCGGGAUGAUAAUGACAGUACCGGGAGAAUAAGCUCCGGCUAACUCCGUGCCAGCAGCCGCGGUAAUACGGAGGGAGCUAGCGUUGUUCGGAAUUACUGGGCGUAAAGCGCACGUAGGCGGCUUUGUAAGUUAGAGGUGAAAGCCUGGAGCUCAACUCCAGAAUUGCCUUUAAGACUGCAUCGCUUGAAUCCAGGAGAGGUGAGUGGAAUUCCGAGUGUAGAGGUG